rnacentral:rRNA from 1 species
GACGAACGCUGGCGGCGUGCUUAACACAUGCAAGUCGAACGGUGAAGCGCCUUCCUUUUUGGUGGGUGUGGAUGAGUGGCGAACGGGUGAGUAACACGUGUGUAACCUGCCCCCUUCUUCUGGAUAACCGCAUGAAAGUGUGGCUAAUACGGGAUAUUCUGGGUCUGUCGCAUGAUGGGUCUGGGAAAGAUAUUGUUUCGGUGGGGGAUGGGCUCGCGGCCUAUCAGCUUGUUGGUGGGGUGAUGGCCUACCAAGGCGGUGACGGGUAGCCGGCCUGAGAGGGUGGACGGUCACACUGGGACUGAGACACGGCCCAGACUCCUACGGGAGGCAGCAGUGGGGAAUAUUGCACAAUGGGCGCAAGCCUGAUGCAGCGACGCCGCGUGAGGGAUGGAGGCCUUCGGGUUGUGAACCUCUUUCGCCAGUGAAGCAGGCCUGCCUCGUUUGUGGGUGGGUUGACGGUAGCUGGAUAAGAAGCGCCGGCUAACUACGUG